UUUUUUUGAAAUAGACUUGGAAAAAAUGUAUUAGUAUAUUUAAACCCACUGUUUUCACAAUUUGGUUUUUUAACAUCUCUGGCUCAUUAUCUUUUAUUCAUCCCGCCAAAAGUCUUUAAUUUUCUUUUAUCAAUUCUUUCCUUUGAGACACUGGUGCCAGCUGGUGUUCGUCACUCAUCUCCUUCUAAGGUCUCUUCAGUGUUUCUUUACACCUGUAGCAAACACUAGUCCUUCCCACGCAGGCAUCCCAAAGCUUUAGAUUCUGGCCUCCCUUCUUCCCUGUUUCCCAGAGCCUGAGGAACCACAAUGGCACAGGACCAGGGUCCCACUCAGGUGCUUACCUGUUCACGUCUGCCUGUCUGCUGUGACUUUUCGCUUUCACUGGUGAUUGCCUCUGCUCUUUGCUCCCGUUUGAGCUCUACUGAAUCAUGCUAACGUCACGAAGCAGUCACCUUUGUGCUGGUUUGUAAGUGUGUGGAUUUUGCUAACUCACUCCCUCUUUAACCUUCACUCCACCCUUCUCCACCUUUCCUCAGGAACAUGACUGAUUCAUCCACUUUAUUACAGACAGAGUCUCACUGUAUAGUCCAGGCUGGCCUUGAACUCUCAGCAACCCUCCCACCUCAGCCUCCAGAGUGCUAGGAUUACAGAUGCCAUGAGAUGAGCUGCUCCCCUCCACCAAUCUCUCCCACCAUGGUGUAUCUGGGUUGGAGCCAGCCGAUCACAGACUGAACUCACCAGAACUGUAAAAUGAAUAAACCUUUCUUCCUUUAAGGUAUGGCUGUCAAAUAUUUUGUUUCAGAAACAAGAAAGCCAAUAUACCAAUAGAGGAAUUAAAACUGACACACUGGUAGACUGGGGAUAUAGCUCAGUGGUACAAGU